rnacentral:rRNA from 1 species
UACGUAGGGACCGAGCGUUGUCCGGAAUCAUUGGGCGUAAAGAGCGUGUAGGCGGCCACUUAAGUCCUGCGUGAAAUCUUGCGGCUCAACCGCAAGCGGUCGUGGGAAACUGGGUGGCUAGAGUGCGGGAGAGGAGAGUGGAAUUCCUGGUGUAGCGGUGGAAUGCGCAGAUAUCAGGAAGAACACCUGUGGCGAAGGCGGCUCUCUGGAACGCAACUGACGCUGAGACGCGAAAGCGUGGGGAGCAAACAGG